GAUCAUGGCUCAGAUUGAACGCUGGCGGCAUGCUUUACACAUGCAAGUCGAACGGUAACAGGGACUUCGGUCUGCUGACGAGUGGCGAACGGGUGAGUAACAUAUCGGAACGUGCCCAGUAAUGGGGGAUAGCUCGGCGAAAGCCGGAUUAAUACCGCAUACGCCCUGAGGGGGAAAGUGGGGGAUCUUCGGACCUCACGUUAUUGGAGCGGCCGAUAUCGGAUUAGCUAGUUGGUGGGGUAAAGGCCUACCAAGGCGACGAUCCGUAGCUGGUCUGAGAGGAUGAUCAGCCACACUGGGACUGAGACACGGCCCAGACUCCUACGGGAGGCAGCAGUGGGGAAUUUUGGACAAUGGGCGAAAGCCUGAUCCAGCCAUGCCGCGUGAGUGAAGAAGGCCUUCGGGUUGUAAAGCUCUUUCAGGUGGAAAGAAAGCGGAUGGGCUAAUACCCUGUUCGGAUGACGGUACCACCAGAAGAAGCACCGGCUAACUACGUG
rnacentral:rRNA from 1 species